UUUGCCGUCCACGGUGGGGUAUCUCUCCAGGACCUUUGUUUUGGACGUGUAAAAUCCCCUGUCCAAGAAACAGUUGAUGCCUCUGUUGGUGUCUCUGCGGUGGGCUCUUCGGUCUCUCAGCUGGGCAGCUACAAGGCUUGCAGGCCUACAGGGUGCAGUCCAACAGGUACAUUAUCUAAAGAUCUGCAAAGCUGAGGAACAGAUGCUGGAAUGCUGUGACCCUGAGACGUGACUGCGCCCUGCCAGGCCCAACAGCUGCCUCUCCAGAUGACACAUUUACCCCUUCUCCAACCGCAAGUGUACUGGCAUGUAACUGCAUCAGAUCUGGACACACGUGCAUGUGAGCAGAUAGAAGAAUCAGUGCAGAGACUCAAAACUGCCUUGGGGCUCAUCAAGCCUGAGCAACAAAAUAAAUCAGAGAAAUGAAAAAAGGAGCAGAAAAUAUAGGACAAAAUAUUACAGUCUUCUCAAAAUAGUUGCAGAAUUGAGGCAACCUUCCCUGGGAGCUCCGUCAUCUCCGUGCUGACCAGCCGAGGCCUGGCCCAUCUGCCUCGAAGCCCUCAUUCAGUGCACUUAUUGGACCAGAGUCAUCAGCUACCUGACUGUCUCCUGUGAGGCCACGGGUGCUUCUGGUGCCCUAUCUGCAGCCCUUUCUCUACCCAAUACCCCUGCGCCUCCACCACCAGCAUUUAACUCUGUGUGCCUGCAUCCUCUGAGGCUGGCUUCUCUCAGGAAGAGCAACACAGAUUCUUUUUGGCUCAGCUUCUCCCUCUGCUGCAACAUAUCUGGGCCCGCUAUAUCAUUUCCUCUCUCUCAAAAGCGUAUGUAGAAAGGAGGAAGACUUGCAUAAGGCUCCCCAGGCUCUAGAACCAGAAAGGCUUUCACCUGUUUGCUGUGAGGUGGUGGUUCCCUCACACCACAUCACAGCUUGUUUACACUACAACUCCUAGCCAAGCCUUGCUCUUGUGAUAUGUAGAGAUGAAUUAGGUGAACUUUGAAAAUCCCUUUUCUCUCUUGAGAAAAUUUUCUUUUCCAGACGCAUGUUGGCUACCCCAGGUUUUACAGAAACUCUCAGAGAACUCAAGUAAUUUGCUCACCAUCAUACAACUGGGAAUGGGCAAAGGUGCAGUUUGAACUCUGACCUGUUUGACUUCUGAAGACCAUGCCCUUUCUAUAAAGCAAUGUCAUCUACCCUGCACCACCCUGCACAGAAGGAGAGAUAACCACUAGAUUUCACUCACCACUGACGUCACAGCCAUUUCUCCUCAACUACAAUCAAAAUGGCAAGGGCAAUGGCUCUCCUAAGUGGACAUAGACUCCUAGAGUGCUCCCUGAGGAUUCAAGACCUUGGUUUCCUCCAAACCAGUCCCCCAUCCCUUGUUCAUACUCUCCAUCCUGACUUUGGAUGAUGUCACCAGCCCCUUGUGUCAUCACUCAGCUCAACUGCCUCUUUAUAAGAAGAGAGUAAGACUAGGACGGUCAAGCCAAGGUGGUGAGGUCUGGAUGGGCAGACCUCAGGUCAUACCCAGCUAUUUCCAGCCCCAGGAGAAGAUCUGGAAAUUUGCCUGCACAGUAAAGAAAAAUGGUCAAAUCACAUGCCUCAUCAAUCGUGUGUGAUGUGAAAGAUUGAGAGCAGGAGUUGAAGGAAGUAUGGAUCUCUGAACCACUCUUUGGAGAAGACUAACACAGGAAAGCCACCCAACCCACAUAGGACUGUGCUGGGGUGACAACCCUGCGUUGUGUUAAGGCGUUGAAAUCUGAAGCUUUGUUUCUGAGGAAUCACUGAACACUCAUCUAUAGAAGAGGACAAAGAAUAUCUCCAGGGUUUCUGCAAAGAUGAAUUGAGAUUAUGCAAAGCACAGAGCAGUGUCUGGCACAGUAAAGGCUCGUUUUGUGGCAAGUGUUAUAUUUUAAGGUCAUGUUCAUUUAGAGGUUAAGAAUAAGGUCAUUAAGAUCAAUAGAUGGGUGUUUAUAUCCCAGCUCUGCUACUAACUAACCAUGCAUGUUAAGAACAUUAUUUAACUUCUCUAUGCCUCAAUUUCUUUAUUUAUAAAAUGGCAAUAAAAAUAGCAUCCAACUUACACAAGGUUGUGAAUUUAUAAUAAGAUAAUCCAUGUGGUGGUGGUGAUGGGUGAUGAUCUCCUGCCUGAUCUACCGUUAUAGAAGCAGAGUUGAUUGUCAGGGAAAAGAACUAAAGUGACAAGCUUGUGUGGAGACUGAACUAUGAUUUUGAUCUGAUCAACGGAACUGACUAGUCACAACAUAAGUACUGACAGAGCUGUCUCUAUCCACAAAGACUGUGCCCAGAUCAGAGCAGAAUGUCUAUAUCAGUAGGCAGAUUUUCUGCUGAAGACAAGAGAAACUUAGGAGCUGGGAAUACACAUAUACCAUUUUGACUUUAUGUUGUGUUUGUAUUUCUUUUUUAGUAAUUUCAAUGCAGUAAGGGAUGUAGCAUUAAAGAUUAAUUUCUUUCAAUUAUAAUAGUAAUGUAGUUGAUUGUAGGAAGUUAGAAGUACAGAUAUUUGUACAGAAAAAAAUGCAUAGUUCUCAUCUAACAAACAACUAGUAAUUUUUCUGUAUUUACGUUCAGCCUUUUUGCUAUGGAUAAGCUUUGUUUAUUUAACAUAGUUGGAUUUUCUAAUGUUAUAUU